rnacentral:lncRNA from 1 species
CUUUAUGUAAAAAGAUCUCUUGGGAGAGGUGAUCAUGGAAGACGUUCCUUCAUGGUUCGGAGGCUUUUGCCGCUCAUGUAGUACUUCCGCUUCAGGGCUUCGGCUAUCUUCACAGGCCUCAGUAUAUGGAGUUCGGCUACUUUCACAGACCUCGAUAUAUAGAGUUCGGCUACUUUCACAGGCCUCGGUAUAUGGGCUUCGGCCAUGCAGCCCACUUCGGUUGGAGUGUCACGUGAUUCGGAUUGAGUGGGCCAUAGGCCCACGUAGGUUGGCCAAGAAUGACAACACAUAACAGUAUCCAUUUCGAUCCUCUGCAGGAUUUGUUAUCAUUGUACCCACCAAGCUAUUCUGUAUGGAUGUCAGUCAUUUGCCCUGAAAUUAAUUAUUGAAUUGUGUGGACUUUGGUAAAAGAAAGACAUGCCCAUGCUGCAGAGAGUAAAUUUUCUAUUUUGAUUUCUAUUGUGAAUGAUAUUCAACUGGCAAUGUUGAUGUCUUUUGCACCAUAAAUAGUCAAUAAGUACUUCAGAGAAAUGGC